rnacentral:misc_RNA from 1 species
CAAGGCCCGCUGCCGCGGGGGCGGGGGGCGGGGAGCUCUGCAGGCCGCUGUGGUGCAGGGGUGCGCGAGGGCGGGCGUCGCGGCUACCGUCUCACCUCCAUCCCGACGGCUGCGAGGCAGAAAGCGAAAGCGGACACGGAAGAUUUUGGGCCGAGUGAGGACUGUGGAGGCUACCAGAUGCCCACCUGUCGGAGGCCACCAGGCUGCCCUGUCCUGGGGCGACCCCACUCCUCACAACACCAGGACCCGAGACCGCUCCGGAGACCAGGAGAAAGCUUCGGUCAAUCAUGAGUACUACUGGGGAGUCAUGGGAGCAGGGGAGGCCAUGCUGAGAGCGUAACCCAGGAGCUCAGCAGGGCCUCUCAGAAGUGAGGACAGACUCUACCACCAUGGAGGACUGACCAGAAUGUGGGUAGCAUCUGCUAGUGGGGGACCAGAUUAAAUAGUGUGGAAGAAGGAAGACCACUUGCCCUUGUUGGCCUGGCCUGGCCUCUUGCUUGAAGCGUUGGACGAUGAUGAUGACGAUGACGACGAAGACGAUUCCUCCACUGAAAACAGAAGCAGCAGCCAUUUCAGGUUUCCAUCCUGGACCAAGGACCUUCAAGUCUCCAAGAACUUGCAGAUUUUUGGUGCAGGAUUGAUGACUACUGAGGCACCUCCAGGACCAGUCAGCUCCCGGAUUCCCAGCCUCGGUGUUGAGACUAUUUCAGAGUGAGCUGAUGACAUGCAUUCUCUAAUAUAUUUGGUAUAUAAAAUGUUUCAUAUUUAAUAUAGAAAAUGUGGGAUCCCAUCAAUUCUGUUCCUCCAGAAAAUUCCAGCUUACAGAGGACACAUGUGCACACCUGUGUGUGUGUGUCCUGUGGAGGUCAGAGGUCAGCCAUGGGCUUGUUCCUUGGAUGGCAUCCAUCUAUCUAGUUAUUUUAUUUUAUUUUAUUUUAUUUUAUUUUAUUUUAUUUUAUUUUAUUUUGAGCUAGCCUCUCUGAUUGACUGGGAACUCUCCAAGCAGGCUAGGCUGGCUGGCUAGUGAGCCCCAGAGAUCCACCUGCCUCUGCCGCCCCGCCCUGGGAAUAAAAACAUUCACUGCCCUGCCUGUUUUGUUGUUUGGUUGUUUUGUUUUGUUUUGUUUUGUUUUGUUUUAACGUGUAUUCUGGGGGUUGAACUCCGGUGCUUGCGUUUGUGAGGCAAGUGCUUUGCUGACAGCCCUGUCCCUAGGCCCACUUAUUCUGAAUUCCUCGUCCCCCCACAUCCCCCCAGAGCAUACUCCCUACCUCAUAGGCAGCAGCUGUUAUCUACUGAGUGGAUAGUAUGUUCUUGGGUUUUUUUUUUUCCUGUGUGAUUUUGAAAAACAAUUCAUAGCUUUUUGCUGUUGUU